rnacentral:rRNA from 1 species
AUUGAACGCUGGCGGCAGGCCUAACACAUGCAAGUCGAACGAGCGGCGGACGGGUGAGUAAUGUCUGGGAAACUGCCCGAUGGAGGGGGAUAACUACUGGAAACGGUAGCUAAUACCGCAUACCAUCGGAUGUGCCCAGAUGGGAUUAGCUAGUAGGUUGGGUAAUGGCUCACCUGGGCGACGAUCCCUAGCUGGUUUGAGAGGAUGACCAGCCACACUGGAACUGAGACACGGUCCAGACUCCUACGGGAGGCAGCAGUGGGGAAUUUUGCACAAUGGGCGCAAGCCUGAUGCAGCCAUGCCGCGUGUGUGAAGAAGGCCUUCGGGUUGUAAAGCACUUUCAGCGAGGAGGCGUUACUCGCAGAAUAAGCACCGGCUAACUCCGUGCCAGCAGCCGCGGUAAUAC